rnacentral:rRNA from 1 species
CGGAACACGUACGCAACCUUCCCAUAACUGGUGAAUAGCCCUCCGAAAGGAGGAUUAAUACACCGUAACAUAAUGAAGUGGCAUCACUUUAUUAUUAUAGGCAGCAAUGUCGGUUUUGGAUGGGCGUGCGCCUGAUUAGGUAGUUGGCGGGGUAACGGCCCACCAAGCCUACGAUCAGUAACUGGUGUGAGAGCACGACCAGUCACACGGGCACUGAGACACGGGCCCG